rnacentral:rRNA from 1 species
UGCCAGCCGCCGCGGUAAUACGAAGGUCCCAAGCGUUGUUCGGAAUCACUGGGCGUAAAGAGUAUGUAGGCGGCGCGGAAAGUCAGAUGUGAAAUCCAGGGGCUCAACCUCUGAACUGCAUCCGAUACUCCCGUGCUUGAGUAAUGGAGGGGUAGAUGGAAUUCUCGGUGUAGCAGUGAAAUGCGUGGAUAUCGAGAGGAAGACUUGUGGCGAAGGCGAUCUACUGGACAUUUACUGACGCUGAGAUACGAAGGCUAGGGUAGCGAAAGGGAUUAGAUA